AUGGGAGUCGGCAAGGAGGCUGAUGGGGAAGGAGCGGCUUGGCGGGGCUGGGGACGGGCCAGGAGAGCAGACCGGCCCCCGCCCCAGGCCGCUGAGGCUGCCCGGCUGCAACGUGGGCUCCGGGCCAGCAGGGGCCAGCUCCCCACUCCUCCCGGAACCCCAGUCGAUGCCAAGCCUUCAGAUGACCGGGAAGCCUGCAAUACCGCCUGCGCUCCUUUGGAGCCGGAGGGGGAAAGCUUAUCGCCAGGCCGGGCUGGGGGCCCUGGGGUCUCUAACCAAGAUCUUGGGAAGAGUCGAGACUCCUGGAGGAGCCGGUGCAGCACUGGAGGUCCACACACACCUGGCACUAGCGAGAGGAGAAGCAGAGACCGAGGUGUGCCCCCAAAUCCGCACGUUGAAAACGAACCCCCGGGGUUAUGGUGGCAGGAGGCAGAGCCUCUGGGAGCUGAGCAGGCAGGAGGGUGGAGCCUCGGGACCGGCGCGUCCUCAGGAAAGGGGCCCAGAGGCUCCCUCGCCCCUGCUCCCUGCGAGGACACAGAGAAAACCAUGGCCACCGCUGAGCCAGGAAGAGGACCCCGCCUGACACCGUAUCUGGCGGCGAGUCAGACUCAGCCCCCAGGACAGUUGGGACUAAGUUUCUGUUGUUUAUAAGCCACCAGGCUGCGGUGUUUUGUUAUGCGGGCAAAUUAAGACGCCCCCUCACAGGAGUUCCCUGGUGGCCUAGUGGUUAGGAUUUGGCACUUUCACUGCUGUGGUCCCAGGUUCAAUCCCUGGUCUGGGAACUUGUGCAAGCCACAGGUGUGGCCAAAAAACCCAAAAAACAAAUAAACAAAAGAACACACACCCCACCACACACACGCUCAGCAUCAUGAUACGAGGGCCUGAGGCCUGGGGAAGACUUCGGAUGCCCUGAGGACAGCCCCUGGAGAGAGGAGGUGUGUCAAACCCCCUUUUCUGAGACAGUGGAGGCUCAGCAGCAGAGGCUCAGAGAGGUAAAGCCUUCUGCCUAAGGUCACACAGCUCAGAGAAAGGAAUAAAGCCAGGAGACGUGAUUCUAAUGCUGUAUUUACCAUCUUUUGCAUUAGAUCCACCUGGAACUCGGAGGUGGCCUUGCUUGCCUGGUUAGAGCUAUAGGGUGAGCAGCAGGCAUGACCCUGGGUGGGAACCACAGCGUGAAUCCAGGGCGAGCAGGGGCUCAGCUUUGGUUGAGUGCUUUCAAACAGGCACGGGAUUCCUCUGUGCCUCCUGGUGAAGUGCAUUUCAUGGCGAUGCCCUCUAAGAUGAAAGGGUGGGUGACACAGAGGGUGGCCAAAGGCCUCCCCUAAGGAUGGCCUCAUUGCAGGCUUGGGCAUGGCUCCAGCGGAACAGCAGGGAGAUGAGAAAGCCACCAGCCCGAGAGACGGUGAAGGUCAAAAGCAGCCCUGGUUACCAGCGCCACCCUCCUAAGCCUGCGUUGCCAAGGCAACGCUCCUCCGUGCUAUCCGUCCCCGCAUGGGGUCCGCUGUGACGAAGGCGAGAGCCUCCCUAGAAAGGGCUUGAAGCUGGUCUGAGGGAACUGGCUGCUCAGCCCGCCGCACCCGGUCGCAAGCAGUGGCCACAGGCACCGUCCUCUCCCAGCCUCCCUGGUCGUGGUCAAGGUUCUGGAGAAAGAGGCGGUGCCCCUCAUCUCCCACCUGUGACAGCCUCCCCGCUGCUGUGUGGAGCGGUCGUGGCCACACACUGGCCGGCCCCUCCCUCACCCCCAUUGCAGGCAAAAGGCGACAGAGCUUGAGGAGCCAGAAUAGAGCCCACCCACCCAGGACGGGGAAGGGGGCGGGACUAUUGCAAAAGAGCACAAACUCAGAGCUACAUUCUGGGUCUUUGUCCCCGGUUUCUGGCACAGGGGCUUCUAAAACCCUUGGAAUUUCCUGAGUGAUUGGGUUCGAGGAGCAUCUUUUCGCAUUUAUCUGAGACCCUUUAGAUCGUACCUGAGUUUACGCCAAUGUGGCGACUCUCGGUGGGCCGCUGGCAGCCUCAGGAUGGUGCUGGCAGCCGCAGGACCCAACCGCUUCCUUAAAGCUUGGAACUUUUAGCCCCACCCCCUGACCUCUGGGAAGGGGAGAGGGGCUGGAGGCUGAGAGAAUCCCCACCGGUAGGGAUGUAGCCAAUCACGAUCACGCCAUGAAGCCUCCGUCUAAACACCUACCCGAUGAGGCUCAGGUGCUGGGAGGGGCUGCCCCGGGCGCUCGCCCACACCUGCGUAUCGCUUCAGUUGCCUGUUUCAGCAAUGCAUCCUUUAGAAUAAACUGGAAUUGCCAAGUACAGUGUUUCCCUGAGUUUGAAUCAUUCCAGCAAAUCCUACAAGCUGAGGAGGGGGGGUCUCAGGAACCCCCCAGGGACUUGCGAUUGGCUUCUGAAGUGGGGGCGGGUAGGGGACUGAGCCCUUACACCGAGGCGUCUGCACUUGCUCUGGGUACCGUCAGAGAGCGCGAGGCGUGGUGUUGGAAACGACACUACCAAUUUGGUGUCAGGAGGGAAACCCUCUCAUCUGGAGUCAGAAGUGUUGUAACAGCAGCCCAAGCAGCAAAGGCAUCAGAGCUUUCAAAGCUCCUAGGUGGUUCCAGCACAAAGCCACGGUCACUGUCACUGGUCUAGACCUGGGGGCUUUGCACUUAAGGGCCCCAGAAUCCCUGGAGGACGUGGAAACACAGAUGGCAGCCCCCUCAGAUCUCUGACUCGGAGGGAGCGUGUGCACUGCUAACAAGUGUCCCUUCUACGCGGGGCGACUGCUCACGGACCCCACUUGGAGAACCGCUGGUGCAGUUCAGAUGCUCUGCUCUGAAGCUGACCCAAGCUGGCCCAGCGUCUCACCGCUUGUUCACAUCACCUUCUUAGGACUCCAAACAAGGCUCUUGUUCGAAGUGUUUGGGUUCCCCCAGGGUGUAGACAUGGGCGUGGCAAAGGCUGGCGUAGCUCUGCAUUCACUUUUGUUUGUUGAAUGCAUGAACUGAUUCGUUCAUUCAACCAAGAUGCGAGGGUUACCACGCUCCUGCUCUGAGCUGGGCGUGCCUGGGAUCGAUGGUGGAAGAGAUGAAAUCAGUCGGAGACACACGUGGCGUGGGCUGGGCGGGAGGGUGCGUUGUGGACACAGGGCGGGCAGCUGUCUCCAGGCUGAAGACAGAGAGGUGCUCCCAGAGGCCAGGUGUCUGAGCCACUGGUCCCCAGCGUGUGGGCUGAGGACCAGCAGGACUAGCCUUACUGGGGGCUGGUUAGAAAUGCAGAGGCUCAGGCCCCUUUGAGCAAGCGCGUGAGCUCGGAGUCUCCUCCGAGUGUGAGAGGCCCCCGGAUCCGAACGACGCCCGGAAUUAACCUGGUGAAGAGGAGCAAAAAGAGCAUUCCAGAAGAAGCAGCCAUCCGUGAAACCAUCUGUGUGUGUUCUAAGGAGGAAAAGAAGUUCCAGUGACCAGAGCUAGAAUUUGGGGGUGUGCAGACGAGAAGCUUCUUUCCGUGUGAAGGGCCCACCACCUCUGGCCGCUCUCAGCUGCUUAACUGGGCAACCGACCCUCUGGUUUGCCAGGUAGGGGGCUUCCAGUGGGUCACCAGCCUUUAACUGCCCCAGGAGGUGGGGGUUCCUCACUGGUAAACCUGGGCUGCUGUUUUGGUGACGUCCCAGGAGCAGAUUUGCUCUGUGGAGAGUCAGCUCCGCCUCCCUGUGGCACCUGGACUGCAGGCCAUGCCCAGGUGGGGGCUGAGCAGGGAGUGUCACCAGGAAGCUCCAGAAAAGAGAGGCAGGAAAAGGACCAUUUGUCUCAGUCUCUUUGGGAGAAGCUGGUCCCUCUGGGUCCAGGGCAGGGACUUGAGAGAUGAAAGUGGGGGGGGGGUCCCACUUUCCAGAAGAGGAGCCUGGGGCCGGGGUGCAUAGGGGAGCAGGGAGGGCCCCGGUCUGCUCCACUCCACAGCCAAGGACUGGAACUCAGGUCACCGGGCCCGGGCCCGGGCCCGGUCUCAGCCAGCUGCCUCUGUGACCAUGCCUGGCAAACACCAGCCAUCCCAUCCCGACACCCUCUGACCGUUAGAACGAGCCUCCUCAAGUUAAGCCCAAACCUGUCUCUCGGCCUCCCGGGUCCUGGGGAGAUGUGCUCCACGAUCCACUCAAACAGCCCUUGCCGAUCCCUCUUGGAGCACUUUGGCGGGAUCAGAUUCUCUUUCGGUGCCUGGGUAGCACCCAAGGCGUCCCAGGUGGGAAUACGGGGGCGGGGGCCCCCGGGACGGGGCCGCACUCAGCCCUGCAGGAUUCUGCCUGGAGAACGCACGUGGCCACUGGGCAACUCCUGCGCCCAGAGCUCUGAGCAGCCCCGUAGAGGAGGGAUGGAAUCCUCAGCGGGCCACGUCCUGAUCCCCAGAACUUGUCAGUUUGACCUUGGAAAGAGUUCUUGGCAGAUGUGAUUAAGAUAAUGGCCUUGAGAGGAGACCGCUGUGGAUUUGGGGUGACCCUCCAUCCAAAGAGAGAAGAAGAGGGGGUUCGAAGCCCAGAGAGACACAGGGAGAAGGCCCGAGCUGAGAGGCAGAGACCGGGGUGAUGCAGCCGCAAGCCAAGGAGGCCAAGGAAAGCCUGGAGCUGCCAGAAGCUGGGCCAGAGGCACCCAGAAUUGUCCCCCAGGGCUUCCAGGAGGGAGCAACCCUGCCCACACCCUGAUUUCAGACUUCCGGUCACUAGAACUGUGGGAGAACAAAGCUGUGUUUUUUCGGCUCCCGCCCCCUACAGUUUGUGCUAAUC
rnacentral:tRNA from 1 species